CGUAACUGGCGGGAGUUUGGGAUCUUAAAUCGGAUGUACCACCAGGGAGUAGUAAAUGCUGAAGAGUGUCUCAAGCCCAUAUCAGCAAGACUGGACUCCUGGCGCGCCCUCAGCCUGGAAGAUUUCUACGGCGUUUUUUUAGUAUACUGUUGUGGAAUAGGAAUAGCAAGUAUCAAGUUCAUGGUAGAACUGACUCUGAGAAGACUGCCCAGUCUGCAUAUAUCUCAUGCCUGAGCGACUCUUCACCUGACGUGAUCCUUGACACCGGUAGCUAUUGCUUUAGUGACGUAUUCAAGUUCGAAGUGUUUCAGCAAUAGUGACGGCCACUUCUCUCAGGAGGAUGUCUAAUCUGGAGUGAAGCCUUAUGAUGUCCGCCAGUGUUUCAACUUUCAUCUAAUUGACAUCACUAUAGGCAGAGUAUCUGAAUAAUGUGGGUUAUGACUUCACUUGAUAGCAUUAAUAAAAACUAGCACUAA